UCGGGUAUGGUGUAAUGGUUAACAUCGUUGACUCUCACUUCUCAGAAGUGUUCCUCAACUCAACAGCUCCUGGUUCGAUUCCUGGUAUCCGAG